rnacentral:pre_miRNA from 1 species
AGCUGGUAAAAUGGAAUCAAAUCACAUGUUUAAUGGAUUUGGUCCCCUUCAACCAGCUGU